rnacentral:rRNA from 1 species
UACGUAGGGCGCAAGCGUUGUCCGGAAUUAUUGGGCGUAAAGAGCUCGUAGGCGGCUUGUCACGUCGGGUGUGAAAGCUCGGGGCUUAACCCCGGGUCUGCAUUCGAUACGGGCUGGCUGGAGUGUGGUAGGGGGAGAUCGGAAUUCCUGGUGUAGCGGUGAAAUGCGCAGAUAUCAGGAGGAACACCGGUGGCGAAGGCGGAUCUCUGGGCCAUUACUGACGCUGAGGAGCGAAAGCGUGGGGAGCAAACAGG